AUGGCAACCAAGGUAACGACAAUUUCAUUUGAGGCUAAAUUGUCUGCAGGACCGAAUGGAGGAUCCAUUGGAAAGCUGAGUGUGAAAUACUUCACAAAAGGUGAUGAUGCUCCUAGUGAAGAGCAACUGAAGAAGGACAAAGCUAAGGGUGAUGGAAUUUUCAAGGCCCUUGAGGGUUACUGUAUUGCUCAUCCUGAUUACAACUAA